UCCCAUAUUUAGCCAUCCAAAAAAACACAAAUUAACCUUUCACUUACUUAACAUAAUAAGGAAGGUCAAGUACAUAAAGAAGAUAAAAAGCCCAUAUGACCCCCGAGAUCCCACCAAAGAAGAACCCGCCGGUAAAUUUGGCCCAACCGUCAGCUGUUUGAAGUUGAUCCGGCUCCUUCUUCCUCCCGGUCAAAGUCAAUGACGGGGCAAUCGAUGGCUCACCCUCUUUAAACGAAGCGAUCCCGUACAUCGUCAAGCAGAUGCUUAAGAUCACCACUAGCCCACCAGCAGCUAGUGAGCCAGCCGCACCAGCAUACUCUGUGUUCCUUAGUGGGCCUGCUUUCACAAAUGGGCCCACUAGAAAGAACCCAUGGGCUAGCCCGACCUCGAUACCACGUAGUAGUGGGUUGACAGCUGUGCGGUAUCCCGGAAGGUUUGAAAGGUACCAUGCAAUCAAUGGGCUUGAUGUGACGGGUGUCUCGAGGCUUCCGAUGAAUGGGUCGCCGUUGAUGGGCUGGAUCACUUGGUAAUUGGGCUGCAUAGUACAUCAAAUCAAAAUAACCUUUUAAAAUCCUUAUUGAUUUUACAUCAUAAGAUUUUAUUGUUUAAUCAAUUAAGGUGACAUUUAGAAUAUUUUACUAAUGAUCAAACAACACAAAUUCUAAUAUGAAGUUUAAAAAAAAGGAAAAUCCAUGAAUUGAAUGACAGAAGAAAACCUUAUCGGUUUUAACAGCCUUGAUGGUGAAUGAAGAUUUGCGAGAGGAAGGCAAGAUUCUGAAUGGUGUACCAGAAAUGCCCUUUGGGGUAACAAGGUCUCUUGUAAAAGAAGUUGUGAAACUGCCCUUGAGGUGGCUAGCCAUGGUGGAGGCUGCUGUGGCCAUUUUUGUCAAUUCACUUAACACUCUCUCUCUCU
rnacentral:lncRNA from 1 species